GUCUGACCUGCUCAGUGACAUUACAAUGUUAAAUAGCCGCGGUAUCUUGACCGUGCAAAGGUAGCAUAAUCAUUAGUUUCUUAAUUGGAAACUAGUAUGAAUGGUCGAACAAAGGAAUGACUGUCUUUUUUAUUAAUAUUGAAUUUAACUUUUAGGUGAAAAGGCCUAAAUUUUCCAGAGGGACGAUAAGACCCUAUAAAGCUUUAUAAAUUUAGAAAUUUUAAAUAUGUUUAUAAUAACUUUCUUUUUUGACGAUUUAUUUAGUUGGGGCGACUAAGGUAUAAUAUGUAAUAACUGCUAUUUAAUAUAUACAAAAUAAAUGUCUAUAUGUAUUUUUAAUUGAUCCUUUAUAAAGAUUAAAAGACUAAGUUACUUUAGGGAUAACAGCGUUAUUCUUUCUGAGAGUUCUUAUCAAAGAAAGAGUUUGCGACCUCGAUGUUGAAUUAAGAGAUUCUAUAUAGUGCAGCAGCUAUAUCAGAGGGUCUGUUCGACCCUUAAUAUCUUACAUGAUUUGAGUUCAGACCGGCGAGAGCCAGGUCGGUUUCUAUCUUUUGGAAUUAAAAAGAUUAUUUUAGUACGAAAGGAUUAAAUAAUCAAAAGUGGUUUAAAUAUUGAAAU
rnacentral:rRNA from 1 species